GCUAAACCUAGACUUCCCUAGCAAGAGCCAUGCAAACAUCCUCGAAAAAUAAUAACAUUAAAUCAGAAUAUUCACCUAAACAAAGCUGAAAAUGCUUGGAAACCCGCUACAAGACAGACAAAUGAAAAUUCCACUAGUAUCCAGGCUCAGGAAUUGUUCCACAAAGUGCGCAGUAUCCUUAAUAAGGUGACUCCUGAGACAUCUAAGCAGCUAACCAAACAAGUGGCAGACCACUCUGUAGACACAGCAUAUCAGCUCAAAUGUGUAGUACAACUAAUAUUUGAAAAGCAAAAUCUGAGCCAAAUUUUUCAUGUAUAUAUGCCAACAUGUGCCAUUGUCUAAUGAGGCUAGAAGUUCCAGCAGAAGUAAAUCCUAAAAUCUGUAUUAAGUUCUGCAGACAGCUGCUAAAGCUCUGCCAGGAGGAGUUUGAAAAAGGUGAAGAUGGUAACGAGCGAAUUAAAAAACUCUAGAAGACAUUGGAAAUGGCUACGUCAUCUAAUGAAAAGGCUCAAGUAAAGGAGGAAUUGAGCGAUGCUCUUAAUAAAGCUCGCCGGCGCUCUCUAGGGAACAUCACAUUUAUUGGGGAAUUAUUUAAAUUGAAAACGCUCUCAAAAAACAUCAUACAUGACUGUCUUGUCAAACGUCUGAACAAACAAAGUGAGGAGUCAAUGGAGUACGUCUGUCUUUUGUUAAAAUCAGUUUGAAAACACCUGGAAGUCAGACUGCCUCGUAUGGAUGACUAUUUCGGCCACAUCGAUAAACUCAUCAAAAACAAGAAAACAUCUCACCGGAUUCGAUUUAUGGUGCAGGAUGCGGUGGAUUCGAGGAUGAACAACUGGGUGCCUCGCCGUGAAAAUCUGGGUCCAAAAACAAUGGCUGAGAUCCAUAAAGACAUCUAACUGACCCCCUAGUCACCCUCAAAUGCCCCUAAGUCCCC